GAGAGUUGGAGACACAACAAACAUGGCGGCGGCGGCGGCGGCGGUGACGGUGACGAAGACGGCGGCGGCGGCGGCGGCGACGGCAGCGGCAUUAAACAAGGCAGUGGGAGUUACUCGGUGCGGUGGUCAGGUGAACUCUGUAUGGCUUUUCAAUUUUAGUUGAAAUUCCCUCCAUGGCCUUUGGGAGUCCCUUGGUGUGUCUCCAGAGUAAAUUUCGAUUACUCUUCAUUUCAUCAAUGUUGGAGUGGCAAGAAAAAGGAGGAGCUGAUUUGGGGUGAAAAGGCAUAACAAACUGUAAACUUCAAAAAAAAUAAAA